rnacentral:rRNA from 1 species
UCUCUCUGAAUCUGCGAACGGCUCCGCAAACCAGUUGUAAACAAUGGUGAGUACGCCCGUCUCUCCCGGCUUUGUCCCGGCAAAAGGACGGGUGAUAGGGAUACCCCUGGUAAUUCUGAGGCUAAUACGUGACCGUACAAACCUGGCCAACCCUCCGGGGCGGCCGGGGACUGUGCGUGUCUCACUUGCGGCAGUCUUACCAGGAACAGGGCGCACAGUCAAACCGUGGCAAAAAAAGGUCCGGCCAAAAGCCGGUCCUCACGGGUCUCACACUGUGCUUCUGACCUAUCAGCUCGUUGUCCGCGUAACGGACGGCCACAGGCUACAACGGGUACAGAGGAUUAGGGUUUGAUCCUGGAGAGUGGGCCUGAGAGAUU